UAAUUUGGCAUAGAUCCAAGUGAGCAUGACUCAGUGAAAUCACUGUAGGCUGCCUUGCAAAUAAAAGAAGUAUAUCUUAUACAACAAGUGGAAGAAAGUUGUCUGGAAUGGAAGCAAGAAUGGUAACUCUGAUUUGAAUAGCCUUUUGUGAAGGAAAUAAAAUGUGCCUGAUGGUGGCUAGUGAAUGUCUACAGCCAGACAGACAUUGCCAUACAUCGGAGUGGCGCUUGCAUUAUCUAGAGUGGUCAGAUAUGUUGAUGUACUGGAGAGGCCAAAGGGAGCAAAAGAGAAGAUGAUGGACUUGGUUUUGGUCAUUCUCCUCUGGAGAUCGGGGGAACUACAUACUGGGCAGCCUCACCUGGAUCCAUGAGAAGGUGAUGGAGCAAAUAAUCCUGGAAACCAAUUCCAAACAAAAAGGCAGGAAGGUUAUUUGGAGUAGCUGACCUAGAUUUACAAAGGUGAUAAGAAGCUUGACCAACUUCUCUGGCCAUGGUUCUGAGGAGCCAGCUGCAAUGGACCCUGUUCUGAGCAGGGAAAUAAGAGUAUAUAACGACCAACCUCAGUGAUGUAUUGGAAAUAAUUAAGAUCACAGUUUAUUUCCUGAUUGUACAAAGAGUCUUUUUUUUUGUUGGAUACUAAGGAAAAGUUAAAAGUCAACAUCUUUUCGUGUUCAGUUGAACUGAAUUUUCAUUGUCUCUAUUAACAGUAAUUAGUUUUCCCUAAUUUUGGCUUUCUUUUCAGACAUUGCACAGGCAAUGUCAGUGUAGACUUAUUGAGAGAAAAUAGAAGACAAGUACUCCUCAGACACAUGAAUGGCUGAAAACACCAACUUCAUCGCUAUAGGAAAAUAGCUUGUGUAGCAAAGAGGCUAAUAAUAAUGUUGACAGAUAUAUUGGUGUAACCCUUAUCUGCAGUGAAACUUAUGUAGUUGUUUUCCUACUUAUCUCCGUUUUUCUAAGAUCAUUUUACUAGGAUAAGAUGUCUAAAAUCAGAUCUUUCUUUGUACAUCCCUCAGUGAAAUAAAUUGACUUUGAUUACUGACAAAUAAUGGAGAAUUUAUUUUUGAGUGAGAACUGCAGCAACCAGUUUGAUGAAGUAGGAAAUUCAAAGGUGCUCAGGAAGCAGGUGUGUACCAGUAUUUUUAGAAAGGGUAGAACAUAUAUAUUUCCCCUAGCUACAAAAGAACUUUCAAACAAAAUAAAUAACAGUAUUAUUGAAAAUCUGAAGCCCUCUGAACUUUGAGGGCUACACGGAUUUCAUGGUACCUGAGUGUGAAUGCAGAAUCACUUAUGUAUCUAGCUCAAAAUCACUGAUUUGGAAACUUACACAACAUGAAGGUAAAUAAUUAUCCAUCACCUUCUGCAUCCAAUAUAAUGUAUUACAUUUAUUACUUUAUGCCAUUACAGAGUAACUGACACUUUCAGCUCUAGCAGCAAACUCUCAGUUGGCUGCAACAUAAAAAUAUCAAGGUAUCAGCAAAUGACUUUUUACUUUUUUAUAGUAUAUUAAAUCUGCAGUUCUGAAAGAGGAAGUUAAAUAUUAGUUGUUUGUUUGGUUUUUUUUUAAAGUAUAGGAGUAAGCACUGAACAAGUUUGUUCCAAGACCAGCACAACUGACGAUGGCCUCUUUUGAUAGAUCUGAAUAAUUUCCAUCCUUACUGCAAUAAUGUUAAUAUUUUUUAGCAAGAGGGAGCAGAUAUGGUAGUUAAUAUUGAGCUAUGUACAUGUUAAAUGACUGGCAACUGGGUUCACGCUACUUGACCAGACAGCUGCAGCCAAACAUUUGUAUGUAAUAUCAAAGAGUUAUAUUAGUUUUUUUCCAUGUGAAAGCAUUAGUUUGAUCCUCUCCCAUCUUAUUAAUAGAAUUUUCAUGAACGCUUGUGAGAACAUUAUUUUUGAGAAUAUAUUCUGCCUUUGAAUUGGUAAGAUGGGACAAAAAAUUGAGUAGGAGAAGUUUUAAUCUGAAGAUGGAAAGAAAGACAUUAUGAUCUCAAAAUACUUUCUUUUGGAAACCAGAGUAAAAUAAGCAUUUUCUGACAGUGUAUCUAUAGUUGUCCUCUGUGCAGCAAAGCACAUUAUAAGUCAGAUGAUACUGCUCUUGACAUUUUUAAUGUUGAGGUGUGCAGAUUUUUAAAACUAUGAGAUAGCAUUAUUGGACUGAAAUUAUUGGACUAUAUAACAUUAAAUUUCAUUUUCUCUAAAGUAUUACAGCAUAUUUUCUGUAACUAGAAAUAGACUCAGAUGUCUAAAGGAAAAAGCCAAACUAAAACCAGUAGCGACAAUUUUUUUUCCCUAGUAUUUGAAAGAGAAUUGAAAUUAUACUUCUGAGUGAAGGAGAAAAUAAUUGACAAUAUUCUGAACUCCUUAAGAUUUCAUGUGAGAUAUGGUUCCAAAAGCUCCAGUUCUGGAAAUGGGCAACUGAUAACUAAAUUUGCUUGUAUAUGUGGUAUUUGAGUAAUUUAUUUGUAAAGGGGUGUUGACUGAUGAAAUGGUAAAAAAAAAAUCCCAGCACUCAAAACUUCAGAAAAGUGACCUGGAAAUGGUGAACAAGAAACUACCAGCUUAAAGCCAAGGUGUUGUUUACUAGUGCCUAUCAAUUUAAGACCUAAAGUAUUAAAAAAACAAAAAAAAGACAGUGAGAAAAGACAAGCCAAAAAGGUAAAUGUAUCUUCUCUUUUGUGGUGAAAAUGUGUUGCUGAAUGGACAUAUGAUAAUUGUAAACAAUUAGAACAAGGGAAGGUACAUUAUUUGUGUUAUAACUGUGCCUCCAGGGUGUCCCAGGUAAUUUUUUUGGUAUUUAAUGUCUGUGUAGUGUGUAAUGAAACUAUGGUCCAUGAAGAACCCACAUUAGGCAUACAGGGAAUCAAAAUAAACAAUAUUUUUGAACGUGAAGAAAUAAAAAAAGCCCUUUGAAAAUUGUUGCUAAUCCUUAAGCAGAUUCUGAGACGAAAACUGAGGCACGAAACUCAGCAGUGGCAGUGGUGGUGACUGAAUUGGGACUUUUAAUUAUUGUCUUCACUAUAAUGCAAUUCCUCUUAUCAAGCAUUGUUCAAGGAAUGUUGUUUUGGGUUUAUUUUUGUCUGGCCUUAGUCAGUCUUCACAAUCUGAAAACGUUUUGUUUAGAAAUCAUCUCAAUCUUCAUCUGCAUAUGUAAACUACUUUUCUCAAAAAUAUUAUUUAGAAAGGAUGUAUUUUUAGUGACAGCUGCCAAAAUUUUUUUUGAUAAUACACUUGCACUAAAACAGUUUCUAUUUAAUAGUACUUCAGCUGUGAAUUUUAUUGAUCUAGUUUUGUGUAAAUAUACUGCAGAAUUUGGAUUUUUCUGUAAAUGUAGAAAAAAACCCUAACAGUUCAUCUUAUCUAUUUUUCUUAAGGAGAAGUGACAAGGCUUAGGGGCUAUUCUAGUAUAUUCAAUACAUUAAAUAAAAAUUUUGUAAUUCUCAGAUCAAGCAAAAGCAGGCAAAUAGCAGAUAUUGCUAUUUUUUUUACAUUGAAUAUAUCAGAUCUACUAGAAGAUCUACUGUGAAACUACAGUAGAGGAGAAUGAGGGGAAGAAUGCAUGUGUCUUAUAACAACUAAAAAUGAGUUUUAAUAUAGGAAGCGAUAAAGCUUAGUGAACAUGUGAAGGUCAUACUACUAUUCCAUAAUACUAGGUCUUGCUAUAUACGAUGUGACUAUACAUUGAAGAAAAGAAAUGUUAUUUGGUGAAAACUAUAUAUUGUUGUGCAUUUUCUUUCCGUUUAACAUUUUCUAUGAAGAGUAACAAAAAUGUGAGGCAGGAUAAUUUAGUAUAAUGGAAAUGUAUUUUCAUAUUGCAUCAUCAUUAUGUUGCCCUGGCAAUACUAAGCAUUUUACUAUGCCGGUCCAUUCAUUAUUGCUGAUGCAUACAGCUUGUACUUUUAUGAGUUCAUCAGUGUGAAUAAACUCAUCUGUGUAGCCACCAGAAA